rnacentral:rRNA from 1 species
UCUACGGGGUGCAGCAGUGGGGAAUAUUGGACAAUGGGCGAAAGCCUGAUCCAGCCAUGCCGCGUGUGUGAAGAAGGCCUUCGGGUUGUAAAGCACUUUCAGUGGGGAAGAAAGCCUUGGGGCUAAUACCCUCGAGGAAGGACAUCACCCACAGAAGAAGCACCGGCUAACUCCGUGCCAGCAGCCGCGGUAAUACGGAGGGUGCGAGCGUUAAUCGGAAUUACUGGGCGUAAAGCGCGUGUAGGCGGUCUGAUAAGCCGGUUGUGAAAGCCCCGGGCUCAACCUGGGAACGGCAUCCGGAACUGUCAGGCUAGAGUGCAGGAGAGGAAGGUAGAAUUCCCGGUGUAGCGGUGAAAUGCGUAGAGAUCGGGAGGAAUACCAGUGGCGAAGGCGGCCUUCUGGACUGACACUGACGCUGAGGUGCGAAAGCGUGGGUAGCAAACAGGAUUAGAUACCCCAGUAGUC